GAUGAACGCUGGCGGCGUGCCUAAUACAUGCAAGUUGAGCGAACGGACGAGAAGCUUGCUUCUCUGAUGUUAGCGGCGGACGGGUGAGUAACACGUGGAUAACCUACCUAUAAGACUGGGAUAACCUCGGGAAACCGGAGCUAAUACCGGAUAAUAUUUUGAACCGCAUGGUUCAAAAGUGAAAGACGGUCUUGCUGUCACUUAUAGAUGGAUCCGCGCUGCAUUAGCUAGUUGGUAAGGUAACGGCUUACCAAGGCAACGAUGCAUAGCCGACCUGAGAGGGUGAUCGGCCACACUGGAACUGAGACACGGUCCAGACUCCUACGGGAGGCAGCAGUAGGGAAUCUUCCGCAAUGGGCGAAAGCCUGACGGAGCAACGCCGCGUGAGUGAUGAAGGUCUUCGGAUCGUAAAACUCUGUUAUUAGGGAAGAACAUAUGUGUAAGUAACUGUGCACAUCUUGACGGUACCUAAUCAGAAAGCCACGGCUAACUACGUG
rnacentral:rRNA from 1 species